UAGGGAAUCUUCGGCAAUGGACGAAAGUCUGACCGAGCAACACCGCGUGAGUGAAGAAGGGUUUCGGCUCGUAAAGCUCUGUUGUUAAAGAAGAACACGUAUGAGAGUAACUGUUCAUACGUUGACGGUAUUUAACCAGAAAGUCACGGCUAACUACGUGCCAG
rnacentral:rRNA from 1 species